rnacentral:rRNA from 1 species
AGUGAACGCUGGCGGCAGGCCUAACACAUGCAAGUCGAACGGCAGCACAGCAGUAGCAAUACUGUGGGUGGCGAGUGGCGGACGGGUGAGGAAUGCAUCGGAAUCUGCCCAGUCGUGGGGGAUAACGUAGGGAAACUUACGCUAAUACCGCAUACGACCGAGAGGUGAAAGCGGGGGAUCGCAAGACCUCGCGCGAUUGGAUGAGCCGAUGCCGGAUUAGCUAGUUGGCGGGGUAAAAGCCCACCAAGGCGACGAUCCGUAGCUGGUCUGAGAGGAUGAUCGGCCACACUGGAACUGAGACACGGUCCAGACUCCUACGGGAGGCAGCAGUGGGGAAUAUUGGACAAUGGGCGCAAGCCUGAUCCAGCCAUGCCGCGUGGGUGAAGAAGGCCUUCGGGUUGUAAAGCCCUUUUGUCCGGAAAGAAAAGCUUCGGGUUAAUAACCCGGGGUCAUGACGGUACCGGAAGAAUAAGCACCGGCUAACUUCGUGCCAGCAGCCGCAGUAAUAC